rnacentral:rRNA from 1 species
UGUAUAAUGGGUCAGCGACUUAUAUUCUGUAGCAAGGUUAACCGAAUAGGGGAGCCGAAGGGAAACCGAGUCUUAACUGGGCGUUAAGUUGCAGGGUAUAGACCCGAAACCCGGUGAUCUAGCCAUGGGCAGGUUGAAGGUUGGGUAACACUAACUGGAGGACCGAACCGACUAAUGUUGAAAAAUUAGCGGAUGACUUGUGGCUGGGGGUGAAAGGCCAAUCAAACCGGGAGAUAGCUGGUUCUCCCCGAAAGCUAUUUAGGUAGCGCCUCGUGAAUUCAUCUCCGGGGGUAGAGCACUGUUUCGGCAAGGGGGUCAUCCCGACUUACCAACCCGAUGCAAACUGCGAAUACCGGAGAAUGUUAUCACGGGAGACACACGGCGGGUGCUAACGUCCGUCGUGAAGAGGGAAACAACCCAGACCGCCAGCUAAGGUCCCAAAGUCAUGGUUAAGUGGGAAACGAUGUGGGAAGGCCCAGACAGCCAGGAUGUUGGCUUAGAAGCAGCCAUCAUUUAAAGAAAGCGUAAUAGCUCACUGGUCGAGUCGGCCUGCGCGGAAGAUGUAACGGGGCUAAACCAUGCACCGAAGCUGCGGCAGCGACACUGUGUGUUGUU